rnacentral:tRNA from 1 species
AAGGAAUUAGUUAAAACAUAACAUUAGAAUGUCAAACUAAAAUCACUUAAUUUCAAGUAUUCCUUG